GUGUGAAUGGUAUGUAGGCUGACAGAAGAGAGUGAGCACACAGCGGCAAUUGCACCGAUCCGAUGCCGUUUCUGUUGCGUGCUCAUUUCUCUUUCUGUCAGCUCUCUCUAUCUCUCUUCUCCUUCACAA
rnacentral:miRNA from 15 species